rnacentral:rRNA from 1 species
GACGAACGCUGGCGGUGUGCUUAACACAUGCAAGUCGAACGGAAAGGCCCUGCUUUUGUGGGGUGCUCGAGUGGCGAACGGGUGAGUAACACGUGAGUAACCUGCCCUUGACUUUGGGAUAACUUCAGGAAACUGGGGCUAAUACCGGAUAGGAGAUCCUGCUGCAUGGUGGGGGUGGGAAAUUUUGGGCGGUUGGGGAUGGACUCGCGGCUUAUCAGCUGGUUGGUGGGGUAGUGGCUUACCAAGGCUUUGACGGGUAGCCGGCCUGAGAGGGUGACCGGCCACAUUGGGACUGAGAUACGGCCCAGACUCCUACGGGAGGCAGCAGUGGGGAAUAUUGCACAAUGGGCGGAAGCCUGAUGCAGCAACGCCGCGUGCGGGAUGACGGCCUUCGGGUUGUAAACCGCUUUCGCCUGUGACGAAGCGUGAGUGACGGUAAUGGGUAAAGAAGCACCGGCUAACUACGUG